UCAGAGUGUGAUUUUAACGUUUACUCUGUAUAACUUUCUCCGCGAGAAUGCCGAUUUCCGUGAAAUGAAGAUAUAUUGCGAUAACUGAAUAUUACUCGAUUAAAUCCUCGUAUCGCGGUAUUUAUCACGAGAAACGAACGCGCGAAUAAUCAGUUUGAAGUGACGCCGCCUUGCAACACGAUAAUGAACUAACCAGGAUGAAUAGGAUAUCGUCGGUUAUAAACACACUAUUCACUACACCACUAACAUUCAGUCGCGAGAUUGUGAUAGAAAAUUACGUUGACGAGUAUUUUGAGAGGUUUUCUUGAUCACACGAGUGAGAAAACACGUGCACGUUUCAAAGCGUUAUUAUUGCUACUCAGCGCGCGAAGGAUACGCUCGGUGAUUGUACUGGAAAGUCAGCAACUGCUGCCACUGGCCCAACUCAGGGAACCUCGACAACUGCUCGUUACGCGCAGUCGAAGCAUACGGGACCCUCAGGCCCGUACGAACAAGCCAACGAAAAUUUCGAGACACGGAGACCGAAAUUUCGAUCGUUCCAUUUUUCCUAGUAUUUAGACUUUAGGUUUGGUUCGGGGCGAGGGUAACAUGCGGACGGAGAGCUCUGCGGAAAAAGUGAAGUGUGAAGGGAAAAAGGAGAAGGAAGCACAAAGUGACACGAAGAAGGGAAAAUAAAGGGUGAGCAUACGAGGAGGAAGUGAAAGAAAAGCGAAAAGAAGUCAGGAACGAGAGAAAGACACAAAUUAGAAAAACUAGAGGGGUAGAGGUUAGGAAGUCAGAAGGGCGGCAAACAAAGUAAGGUAGGGAAACAAAAGAUGGCGACAAACAGAGGGAGACCAAGGAACAUGGAUAAGGCGGGAGAUAAGGCAGAUUUCAAACAAUAUGUAAUUACCAUUAUUAUUUUCGACGCCAAAAACGAGCAAUAAUAAUUCAGCUAUCAUAAAUUCCAUCUUACCUGCACCUCUAUUCACGAUAAAAAGUAUUUUUAUUAUCAUGUUUUGAUUAUUUCUCAAUAAACUUUUAAGACACAAAGGAAUGAAAAUACGAGGAAUAAAUUACAAAGAUAAUUUUCAUAUGGUUUAAUAACAAUAAAUGUUCAACCUUCAAAUGUACGACUAGAAAAAUGAUAACUUCACAAAACUGUACUCCCGUCCAAUUAUAUUUCACCUAAAUAAAUUGUAUCUAAAUCAGCAAAUUAAUUUGGACUCAGCAAGUCUACUAGAAAUUUUUCAGUUUUGAAUUUUUAUAUUCUAACUUCAUUGUAAUUUUAACAGAUAAACAACCUCUGAACGUUUCAAGUAAAACUUUGAUGUAAUGUUACGAAUAAAAAUUGUAAGACGAAAACUCACACAUAUUAUAACACUCUUACACAUUUUCCUCGAAUGUAACAUAAUAUAACAUAACGUCAAAGGCGUAGAAAUAUUAAUCUGCCCAUAGCGUAAUCGUAUUUACAAUUACGAAGUACACUGUUACCCUCAUCAAAAAGUAAUCAUAAAAUUACAAUGGAAAACUAAUGGUAGCUAAAUUUUAUUCUAUUUAUAAACAAUUUUUUGUCUUUCUAAAUCUGAAGAUAAUAUUAAUAACAGAUAAUUUUUACCUACAUAAUAUAUAUAAUCAGUCAAAAAACACUCUUUGAAAGAGAGUAACUUUUUUAAAAUUAAACCAAACGACGAGUUUUUUUGAAAAAUUGCAAGGAUUGUUUUAACUAGACGAUGGGGGAAGAAUUGUUCAGAAAAUUGAAAUUGAUAUGAACGGUGAUGGAAGUACUAAAGAUCACGUUAUAUAACUUUAUAUUAUAAUGAAAAUUUAUUAUUAUUAUUAAAGUGGGUUUUGUAAAUAUAUGUCAAUUACAUGCUGAAAAAUUCAUCUUAAUACGAUAAAUUAAAAUUAAAAAUUCAUCUUGAUACGAUAAAUUUUGAUAUCAAAAUUUAUUUUCAUAUUUGAAAUUUAUUUUCACAGUUAUAGGGCGAAAGUUAUGAAAAAUUGAAAAAUUCACUAUUUUUUAAUAGCUCGAACUUUAUAGUAACGUUAAUUAAUUUUUAUGAAAUUUUCGGCAUGUACUAACAUAAAUGUUCAAAGUGUGUUGUUCAAAUUUUUAUUACAAGCGUGGAUAAAACUUUUAUUUUCAUAAAAGUGACUUUUACCUAGUAAUUU